CUUUUCCUCUAAAAUUUUAAAUACUCAAAUUUGACCAUAGUACUGCUUGCAUUUACAAAGAGUUGAGUACCGAAGGGGCAAAUACCCUCUGGGUCAUAAAAACCAUACAUGGGACAUGGGUAAAAGCCUAACUAAAAAAGGUAAAAAUUAGCUUUAGGCAGGUAUAAGAUCAAUAUCCUAAUACUAGCAUUCUAAAACUCCAUUGUGAUUAGUUGAGUACUUGGA